CAGUAACAGUGACAUGGCCAGCUGAUUGCAGCUGGCGACCCGGCCAAUAUACACUGCUGCCCAGGUUGCGGGUACUCCAGUCUCAGCAGUACACCCUGAUGGUGGCCCUAGCGGGUGGCACAGCUAGGUUGGCACCCUUCAUUGGCUGGCGCCCCUGUUACCAAGUUUAUUCCAAAAGGACAUCGUAAUUAGGAAAUCCAACAAUCCCAUGUGCAAAGAAGCAGUUGAUAACGUUAUUUGGAACCUGACGCUACAGAAAAGUGUGUUACGUUGUACUGCAGAGAUAACAUAAAAAGUUACAGGAAUAAAUGAAAGCUGCUGAACCACAACAAACAGCUCCACCCAAAAGGCAGCAGACAGAAAUGGACAUGCAGGAGGCUGGCAAGUGACCCAAAAAACCCCAACAAAACACACAUUUCCAUGGUUCAGCAGAUCUCUGUAACCUAAGUGUAAU